AUUUAGUUGACGAGUCUCAAGUAGGACGAAACGCGUGUCCUGGGU
rnacentral:hammerhead_ribozyme from 1 species